UGCCUACGGGGCGCAGCAGUGGGGAAUAUUGCACAAUGGGGGAAACCCUGACGCAGCGACGCCGCGUGAGUGAAGAAGUAAUUCGUUAUGUAAAGCUCUAUCAGCAGGGAAGAAAAUGACGGUACCUGAGUAAGAAGCCCCGGCUAACUCCGUGCCAGCAGCCGCGGUAAUACGGAGGAUGCGAGCGUUAUCCGGAUUUAUUGGGUUUAAAGGGUGCGUAGGCGGACUGGAAAGUCAGCGGUAAAAUCGAGAGGCUCAACCUCUUUCCGCCGUUGAAACUGUCGGUCUUGAGUGGGC
rnacentral:rRNA from 1 species